rnacentral:rRNA from 1 species
CCUACGGGAGGCAGCAGUAGGGAAUCUUUCACAAUGGGCGAAACCCUGAAGGAGCAACGCCGCGUGCAGGAUGAAGGCCUUCGGAUUGUAAACUGCUUUUGUAAGAGAAGAAUAUGAUGGUAUCUUAUGAAUAAGGAUCGGCUAACUACGUGCCAGCAGCCGCGGUCAUACGUAGGAUCCGAGCAUUAUCCGGAAUGACUGGGUGUAAAGAGUUGAGUAGGUGGAAUAAUAAGUAGCUGUGGAAAUCUGGUGGCUCAACCAUUCAGACUAUUAGCUAAACUGUUAAGCUCGAGACCGUUAGGGGUAACUGGAAUUUCGAGUGUAGGAGGGAAAGCAGUAGAGAUUAGAAAGAAAAACAAUAGCGUAGGCAGGUUACUGGGACGGUGCUGACACGAAGGCAAGAAAGCGUAGGGAGAAAACGGGAUUAGAUACCCGAGUAGUC